rnacentral:rRNA from 1 species
UACGAAGGGGGCUAGCGUUGUUCGGAUUCAUUGGGCGUAAAGGGCGCGUAGGCGGCGGCGUAAGUCGGGUGUGAAAUCUCGGAGCUUAACUCCGAAACUGCAUUCGAUACUGCCGUGCUUGAGGACUGGAGAGGAGACUGGAAUUUACGGUGUAGCGGUGAAAUGCGUAGAUAUCGUAAGGAAGACCAGUGGCGAAGGCGGGUCUCUGGACCAGUUCCUGACGCUGAGCACGAAGGCCAGGGGAGCAAACGGG